UACGAAGGGGGCUAGCGUUGCUCGGAAUGACUGGGCGUAAAGGGCGCGUAGGCGGAUGACACAGUCAGAUGUGAAAUUCCCGGGCUUAACCUGGGGGCUGCAUUUGAUACGUGUUGUCUAGAGUGAGGAAGAGGGUUGUGGAAUUCCCAGUGUAGAGGCGAAAUUCGUAGAUAUUGGGAAGAACACCGGUGGCGAAGGCGGCAACCUGGUCCUUGACUGACGCUGAGGCGCGAAAGCGUGGGGAGCAAACAGG
rnacentral:rRNA from 1 species